CACACACACACACCCCUUUCCAUCCCUCUUUGGUCCCGGCUUCCCAAAAGCAGAAAAGCCUGCAAAGGCCUUGUCGCUAGGAAAGCGUUGCUAAGGGCAGUCACCUGCUCAGAACUUUUCAAGGAGAGAGAAAGCUCCUGUUGUGAACCACUGCGGUGGAGAACACCAGUACCAUCCUGGGAGGGAAGACAACAAACAGCAAGAGCUGGUAAAUGGAAUACUGACUGUUCUAUAUAACGCUCCUACUAUCACCAACAUGAACUGUGGUGGGAUAGAACAGUCCAGAAGAGCACCUUCAUGUGGGAAGUGGGGUGUGGGUCCGGCAUCGCCUUGAACCUUUGUAAUCCCACAUCCUGCACUGCUCACACUAUGCCAGCUUGGGAAAUGUGCUGUUCAUAUUGUCAUUCAGUUUUGUAUUCCUAGUCCUAUUGCAUUAUCCAUUGGCUGUCCUGUCCUGUACUAUUACAUUUUUUCUCUUUCUUUAUUCUGUAAUCCGUUUUGAGUCUCAGUAAGCAAAGAGGGCUAUACAUUUAUUUACACACUUAUUUAAAACAUGUUUAUGCUGCCUUGCCAUCCAGAUAGG